rnacentral:rRNA from 1 species
AGCAGUCGCCGCGGGAAAACGUAGGGUGCAAGCGUUAAUCGGAAUUACUGGGCGUAAAGCGUGCGUAGGCGGUUUGUUAAGUCUGUUGUGAAAUCCCCGGGCUCAACCUGGGAAUGGCAAUGGAUACUGGCAAGCUAGAGUGUGUCAGAGGAUGGUGGAAUUCCCGGUGUAGCGGUGAAAUGCGUAGAGAUCGGGAGGAACAUCAGUGGCGAAGGCGGCCAUCUGGGACAACACUGACGCUGAGGCACGAAAGCGUGGGGAGCAAACAGGAUUAGAUACCCCCGUAGUCCCUGUCUCUUAUAA